AACGAACGCUGGCGGCGUGCCUAACACAUGCAAGUCGAACGAGAAAGGGGCUUCGGCUCCGAGUAAAGUGGCGCACGGGUGAGUAACACGUGGGUAACCUGCCUCUAAGAUUGGGAUAACUCGUCGAAAGAUGAGCUAAUACCGAAUAAGACCACAGUUCCCGCGGGAACAGGGGUCAAAGGUAGCCUCUGCUUGCAAGCUAUCACUUAGGGAUGGGCCUGCGCACCAUUAGCUAGUUGGUAGGGUAACGGCCUACCAAGGCAAAGAUGGUUAGCUGGUCUGAGAGGAUGAUCAGCCACACUGGAACUGAGACACGGUCCAGACUCCUACGGGAGGUAGCAGUGGGGAAUAUUGCGCAAUGGGCGAAAGCUUGACGCAGCAACGCCGCGUGAGUGAUGAAGGCCUUCGGGUCGUAAAGCUCUGUCGGGAGGAACGAAUGCUCCUGAGGUUAACAGCCUCGGGAGGUGACGGUACCUUCAAAGGAAGCACCGGCUAACUCUGUGCCAGCCGCCGCGGUAAAAC
rnacentral:rRNA from 1 species